AUUGAACGCUGGCGGCAGGCCUAACACAUGCAAGUCGAACGAGUGGCGGACGGGUGAGUAAUGUCUGGGAAACUGCCUGAUGGAGGGGGAUAACUACUGGAAACGGUAGCUAAUACCGCAUACCAUCGGAUGUGCCCAGAUGGGAUUAGCUAGUAGGUGGGGUAAAGGCUGACCUAGGCGACGAUCCCUAGCUGGUCUGAGAGGAUGACCGGCCACACUGGAACUGAGACACGGUCCAGACUCCUGGGGGAGGCAGCAGUGGGGAAGAUUGCACAGUGGGCGCAAGCCUGAGGCAGCCAUGAGGCGUGUAUGAAGAAGGCGUUCGGGUUGUAAAGUACUUUCAGCGGGGAGGCGUUACCCGCAGAAGAAGCACCGGCUAGCUCCGUGCCAGCAGCCGCGGUAUUUC
rnacentral:rRNA from 1 species